ACAUUAGCAUGGAAUAAUGAAAUAGGACGUUCGAUCCUAUUUUAGUUGGUUUCUUAGGGAUUGACGUAAUGAUUAAUAGGGAUAGUUGGGGGCAUUAGUAUUCAAUUGUCAGAGGUGAAAUUCUUGGAUUUAUUGAAGACUAACUACUGCGAAAGCAUUUGUCCAAGGAUGUUUUCAUUAAUCAAGAACGAAAGUUAGGGGAUCGAAGACGAUCAGAUACCGUCGUAGUCUUAACCAUAAACUAUGCCGACUAGGGAUCGGAUGAUGUUAAUUUUUUUAAUGACUCAUUCGGCGCCUUACG
rnacentral:rRNA from 1 species